rnacentral:rRNA from 1 species
GAUGAACGCUGGCGGCGUGCCUAAUACAUGCAAGUCGAGCGAACGGACGAGAAGCUUGCUUCUCUGAUGUUAGCGGCGGACGGGUGAGUAACACGUGGAUAACCUACCUAUAAGACUGGGAUAACUUCGGGAAACCGGAGCUAAUACCGGAUAAUAUUUUGAACCGCAUGGUUCAAAAGUGAAAGACGGUCUUGCUGUCACUUAUAGAUGGAUCCGCGCUGCAUUAGCUAGUUGGUAAGGUAACGGCUUACCAAGGCAACGAUGCAUAGCCGACCUGAGAGGGGGAUCGGCCACACUGGAACUGGGGCCCGGUCCAGACUCCUACGGGGGGCCGCAGUAGGGAAUCUUCCGCAAUGGGCGAAAGCCUGACGGAGCAACGCCGCGUGAGUGAUGAAGGUCUUCGGAUCGUAAAACUCUGUUAUUAGGGAAGAACAUAUGUGUAAGUAACUGUGCACAUCUUGACGGUACCUAAUCAGAAAGCCACGGCUAACUACGU